rnacentral:rRNA from 1 species
CAGCGCGGGGCAACCUGGCGGCGAGUGGCGAACGGGUGAGUAAUAUAUCGGAACGUACCCAGAAGUGGGGGAUAACGUAGCGAAAGUUACGCUAAUACCGCAUACGAUCUACGGAUGAAAGUGGGGGACCUUCGGGCCUCAUGCUUUUGGAGCGGCCGAUAUCUGAUUAGCUAGUUGGUGGGGUAAAGGCUCACCAAGGCGACGAUCAGUAGCUGGUCUGAGAGGACGACCAGCCACACUGGAACUGAGACACGGUCCAGACUCCUACGGGAGGCAGCAGUGGGGAAUUUUGGACAAUGGGCGCAAGCCUGAUCCAGCAAUGCCGCGUGAGUGAAGAAGGCCUUCGGGUUGUAAAGCUCUUUUGUCAGGGAAGAAACGGCCCAGGCUAAUAUCCUUUGCUAAUGACGGUACCUGAAGAAUAAGCACCGGCUAACUACGUGCCAGCAGCCGCGGUAAUACGUAGGGUGCAAGCGUUAAUCGGAAUUACUGGGCGUAAAGCGUGCGCAGGCGGUUUUGUAAGUCUGACGUGAAAGCCCCGGGCUCAACCUGGGAAUUGCGUUGGAGACUGCAAGGCUUGAAUCUGGCAGAGGGGGGUAGAAUUCCACGUGUAGCAGUGAAAUGCGUAGAGAUGUGGAGGAACACCGAUGGCGAAGGCAGCCCCCUGGGUCAAGAUUGACGCUCAUGCACGAAAGCGUGGGGAGCAAACAGGAUUAGAUACCCUGGUAGUCCACG